AACUUAAGCAUAUCAAUAAGCGGAGGAAAAGAAACUAACAAGGAUUCCCCUAGUAACUGCGAGUGAAGCGGGAAAAGCUCAAAUUUGAAAUCUGGCAGUCUUUUUGUCUGUCCGAGUUGUAAUCUAGAGAAGUGUUACCUGUACUGGACCGUGUAUAAGUCUUUUGGAAUGGAGCAUCAUAGAGGGUGAGAAUCCCGUCUUUGACACGGACUGCCUGUGCAUUAUGGUAUGCUCUCGAAGAGUCGAGUUGUUUGGGAAUGCAGCUCAAAAUGGGUGGUAAAUGCCAUCUAAAGCUAAAUAUUGGCGAGAGACCGAUAGCGAACAAGUACCGUGAGGGAAAGAUGAAAAGAACUUUGGAAAGAGAGUUAAACAGUACGUGAAAUUGCUGAAAGGGAAACGCUUGAAGUCAGUCGCAUCGGCUAGGAAUCAGUCUUGCUUUUGCUUGAUGUAUUUUCUGGUCGAUGGGUCAGCAUCAAUUUUGAUCACUUGAUAAAGUCUUUGGGAAUGUGGCAUCUUUGGAUGUGUUAUAGCCCAUCGUUGCAUAUGGUGAUUGGGAUUGAGGUACUCAGCACGCUGUAAAGCCGGGUUUUUUUUGACCACGUUCGUGCUUAGGAUGCUGGCAUAAUGGCUUUAAUCGACCCGUCUUGAAACACGGACCAAGGAGUCUAACAUGCCUGCGAGUGUUUGGGUGGAAAACCCAUACGCACAAUGAAAGUGAAAGUUGAGAUCCCUGUUAAAGGGGAGCAUCGACGCCUGGACCAGACCUUUUGUGACGGAUCCACGGUAGAGCAUGUAUGUUGGGACCCGAAAGAUGGUGAACUAUGCCUGAAUAGGGUGAAGCCAGAGGAAACUCUGGUGGAGGCUCGUAGCGAUUCUGACGUGCAAAUCGAUCGUCAAAUUUGGGUAUAGGGGCGAAAGACUAAUCGAA
rnacentral:rRNA from 1 species